CUUUCCUUUUGCAGUGCCUGCAUUUGAGUCGGAGGACUUGGAUAAAAGCAGACUGACUGAGCUUCAUCCUGAGGACAUAGAUGUGGCCAGCAGCGAGAGGGGUCCACUGAGGAGGGUGUGUGAACCGCCUCUGUGGCUCUCGAAGUCGCGAAGGAGAGGCUGCUCAGGGGUGAGCAUCCCUUCGAGAUAAUUCAGUGGCUGCCCUACUUUCAGGUAGGAGAUCUCUUUAUUAUUACGGGAGCCUCCCUUCUGUGUUUCGGAUA
rnacentral:lncRNA from 1 species